UCUCCACAAACUGUGAGCUAAAUAAACCUUGCCUUCCUUAAUUUAGGGUGUCGGGUAUUUUGUCCCAGCAACGAGAGAAAAGUAAUCAAGACAGUAGUUGUUUCCACAAUUCCAAGGAUUAUGGCAGCUGCUCCUCCUAUCACUGUACAGUGUGUGCCUGGAGAGCUGUGCCUGGACUGCUGAUGGGAUGAUGUGCCACUUACGUGUGAAGGCACAGCUUCACAGAUUUAAGAACACAGCUAGAGGGGGGAAAAAAAACCACCCAUAGCUGCCCCCCCCCCAUAGGCCAGGAACUGUACUCUGUAGUAUGCACAGCAUCCCACAGUGAGAAUUUCAGGUAAGGCAUCACUCUCCCCUAAGCACCGUAAUUCAGAAUCUUGGUUCUCCCCUCUUCCCUUUUCCGGUGUGACGGUCCCCAAAUGGCCCUGGGCUCCAGUUCCUCUCGCACUAAUGCUGCCACUUCCUAACUCGACCUCUAGGGCGUCUCCCCUCCGCUCAGAACUCAGGUCUCCAACUCUGCCACACGCAAGGAUCUCGGGAUUCAAAGACUGGAGGAGAGGGAUCUCUCUGUGUUGCCCAGGCUGGCUUUGAUCUCACAGUGAUUCUUCUGCCUCAGCUUCUCAAAUGCUGGAAUUACAGGUGUGUACUACCAUGUCCAGCUUUACAGACUAUAUUUUUGAACCACUGGAUGCCACUGGAUGGAGUGUGAUGAGUUCCCCCCAAACACAAGAUGAUACCCUGGAGAGGCUUCUGUGCCUGUUGUUGCAGAAAAAGACCAAAAAAAAAAAAAAAAGAA